UGUGUAGGUGGCGCCGUAAGUCGGGUGUGAAAUUUCGGAGCUUAACUCCGAAACUGCAUUCGAUACUGCGGUGCUUGAGGACUGGAGAGGAGACUGGAAUUCAUGGUGUAGCAGUGAAAUGCGUAGAGAUCAUGAGGAAGACCAGUGGCGAAGGCGGGUCUCUGGACAGUUCCUGACACUGAGACACCAAGGGCCAGGGGAGCAAACG
rnacentral:rRNA from 1 species